GGGGAUGUGACUCAGUGUUAGAGCAUCCGCUUUGAAUGCAGAAGGUACCAGGUUCGAUCCUUGGUGUCGUCU
rnacentral:tRNA from 1 species